rnacentral:rRNA from 1 species
AUUGAACGCUGGCGGCAUGCCUUACACAUGCAAGUCGAACGGUAACAGGUCUUCGGAUGCUGACGAGUGGCGAACGGGUGAGUAAUACAUCGGAACGUGCCUAGUAGUGGGGGAUAACUACUCGAAAGAGUGGCUAAUACCGCAUGAGAUCUACGGAUGAAAGCAGGGGAUCGCAAGACCUUGUGCUACUAGAGCGGCCGAUGGCAGAUUAGGUAGUUGGUGGGAUAAAAGCUUGCCAAGCCGACGAUCUGUAGCCGGUCUGAGAGGACGAUCAGCCACACUGGGACUGAGACACGGCCCAGACUCCUACGGGAGGCAGCAGUGGGGAAUUUUGGACAAUGGGCGAAAGCCUGAUCCAGCAAUGCCGCGUGCAGGAUGAAGGCCUUCGGGUUGUAAACUGCUUUUGUACGGAACGAAAAGCCCCGGGUUAAUACCCUGGGGUCAUGACGGUACCGUAAGAAUAAGCACCGGCUAACUACGUGCCAGCCGCCGCGGUAA